GAGAGAGAGUGUGUGUCAAGCUAAGAUCCCUGGCUGCUACCCUCCCCCUUUCUACUCUGUGGCCAUGGGCACUCUCGGCCAGUAUAUGGAAAGCCCUGGAAGGCGCCAGCUUCUUCUCCUAAGAAGCUAUAUUGCAAACAACAAAAGAGUCGUGGGGAUGAGGCAGGCUGUCUGACUUCAUCACAUGCUGCCAUUCACGGAUAAAUUAAAAUUUUUACAAUA